AUUGAACGCUGGCGGCAUGCUUUACACAUGCAAGUCGAACGGUAACAGGUCUUCGGAUGCUGACGAGUGGCGAACGGGUGAGUAAUACAUCGGAACGUGCCUAGUAGUGGGGGAUAACUACUCGAAAGAGUAGCUAAUACCGCAUGAGGUCUACGGAUGAAAGCAGGGGACCUUCGGGCCUUGUGCUACUAGAGCGGCUGAUGGCAGAUUAGGUAGUUGGUGGGGUAAAGGCUUACCAAGCCUGCGAUCUGUAGCUGGUCUGAGAGGACGACCAGCCACACUGGGACUGAGACACGGCCCAGACUCCUACGGGAGGCAGCAGUGGGGAAUUUUGGACAAUGGGCGAAAGCCUGAUCCAGCAAUGCCGCGUGCAGGAUGAAGGCCCUCGGGUUGUAAACUGCUUUUGUACGGAACGAAAAGCCUGGGGCUAAUAUCCCCGGGUCAUGACGGUACCGUAAGAAUAAGCACCGGCUAACUACGUG
rnacentral:rRNA from 1 species